ACAGCUCCUUUGUCUGCAAUAUCCUUCCCUAGAGAGCUGCCCUCGCAUCUGUCCUUCCUUCCAGUCUCUACUUCAAUGUCGUCUUCCCAAUGAGACCUCCCCUGAUUACUCCGCAUAAAAUUAUAACUCUUAUCUUGGUGUUGCUUCUCAACUUUCCCUGCUUUAUUUGGCUCCACAGCACAUAAAACUGAGUAAUUUUACAUACUUCCUCAUGUCCUUAUUCUUUGCCUCCUCGCCUAGGAUGUAAGUCACAUGAAGGUGGGGACUUUAUUUUGUCUUACUUCACUGCCUGCGUGUGCGUUAAAUGACUGAUGAAGAGCUGUGUGCUAAUGCUGAGAAACUCCUGACGAGGCUGAACUUGAGUGUACAGUCAACGAGUACGGUACUUGAGGGCCGCGAGGUUUGGAAUGAACUCCUGAAGAAUACAGAGGACGAGCAUCUGAAAUCUCCACUUCCCGUGAUUAAGCAGGCAGCAGGAUAUGCCUUUGCCACGCCUAUCUAAUGGCGCCAAGCUGAAGAAACUGUAUGAAAGCAGAGUCCGAUUGUCCAUAAAAGAAAAUGCCACCUUCCUUAGAAAAAGGAAAACCUGGAUUCUCCUGAGUGGGCACCUGAAAGAGACUCUGCACAUGGGGCUGGAGGAAAUGUACACCCCACACUCCUGCGCUUCUGCCCAGCUGGAGGCAAAAGACUCCAAGGCUUUAGGCCAUGGUUAAGCCUGAAGACAGGAUGAGCCGGGAGCCCUGAAUUCGGCUUGAGGAGAGCAACUCAAGAAAGCCGGAGUUUUCUGCCCUCAUCAACUGGAUGUUAGUUCUCUCCUUGGACUGAUCUCUGCUGGCAGGUUGCUGUAACAUCCACAUACUUAUAUGCUUCAGGGUAAGAGGGCAUGAAGAUAGGUAUAGGAUUCAACUUUGCUCUAGAGCUUUCUCCAAUUUUAAAUGAAAAUCUUGCCCUUACGUCCUAGAAGAGGUCAGAUAACUCUUUGUGAAACCUCUUGAAAUAAAAAAUAGAAUAGAAGUUUACUCUACAGGCUGGAAUGUCCUUCUGAGUGUAUUAAACUAUGUCACUGGUCUCCCUCCCGUGAUGGGAGGAAGGAAACUCAGAGGAGGAAAGAGAAGAAAAGAGAAGGAGGGAGACAGUGGCUGAAGAAUGAGAUGUGAUGUGACCCUAAGUAGCGCCUCCUCUCCAACCACCCGCUCCUCUUUUCUCUGAGAUGCUUGCUCUAUAACAAUGCCUGUAACUCAAGGAAAUUGCUUCUGCCGCUUUUAUUCCCCAGGACACUUUGUCCCUUAAGGAAUUGUUCAAUUAAAGAGCUCUAAAAGGAUUGCAUUAACUGAAGAUAUCCAGUCUUCCUUUAUUUCUCAUCACCAAAAUGACAAAGACAGAAUCAGGCACCAUUAGUGCUGAUGUUUCAGUCCAUGUAGGUCUUCAUUAGGCCCCUUUAACAUAACCAUUGAAGGCGAC
rnacentral:lncRNA from 1 species